rnacentral:rRNA from 1 species
UACGGAGGGUGCAAGCGUUGUCCGGAUUUAUUGGGUUUAAAGGGUGCGUAGGCGGCCCUGUAAGUCAGUGGUGAAAGCCUCCAGCUCAACUGGAGAACUGCCAUUGAUACUGCAAGACUUGAAUUACUAGGAAGUAACUAGAAUAUGUAGUGUAGCGGUGAAAUGCUUAGAUAUUACAUGGAAUACCAAUUGCGAAGGCAGGUUACUACUAGUUGAUUGACGCUGAUGGACGAAAGCGUGGGGAGCGAACAGG